rfam:Desulfosporosinus sp. I2 contig00037, whole genome shotgun sequence.
AAAGGUAAGAUGCUGAAUCUGAGUUUCAUAGGCUCAGAACGGGGGAUUUCAUGUGGGGUGAAUCAUGUUCAGAACAUGUAGGGCUUACACCUUUAGCCCGAAUCCGUCAACUAACCUCGUAAGCAAAGAAAGGUGGACAA